rnacentral:rRNA from 1 species
GAUGAACGCUGGCGGCGUGCCUUACACAUGCAAGUCGAACGGUAGCAGGUCAUGCGAUGUUGACGAACGGCGAACGGGGGCGGAAUACAAAGGAACGGACCCCCUCGCUGUGGAUAAGGGAGCACUAGGGGAAAUAAUAGCUAAUACGGGCUAAGAAUGUGAGCGGGAGGGUUCCGGAGCUAGCGCCGGCGGUGCGGCCGAUGGCAGAUUAGUUAGUUGGUGGGAUAAAAGCUUACCAAGUCGACGAUUUGUAGCUGGUCUGAGAGGAUGAUCAGCCACACUGGGACUGAGACACGGCCCAGACUCCUACGGGAGGCAGCAGUGGGGAAUUUUGGACAAUGGGCGAAAGCCUGAUCCAGCCACGCCGCGUGAAGGAUGAAGGCCUUCGGGUUGUAAACUGCUGUUGUACGGAACGAAAAGCCUCUUUCUAAUAAAGAGGGGUCAUGACGGUACCGUAAGAAUAAGCACCGGCUAACUACGUG